rnacentral:rRNA from 1 species
GACGAACGCUGGCGGCGUGCUUAACACAUGCAAGUCGAACGGUGAUCUUGGGAGCCUGCUCUUGGGUGAUCAGUGGCGAACGGGUGAGCAACACGUGAGUAACCUGCCCCUGACUCUGGAAUAACUUCGGGAAACCGAAGCUAAUACCGGAUACGACACAGAGCUGCAUGGCUACUGUGUGGAAAGUUUUUCGGUUGGGGAUGGACUCGCGGCCUAUCAGCUUGUUGGUGAGGUAAUGGCUCACCAAGGCGACGACGGGUAGCCGGCCUGAGAGGGCGAUCGGCCACACUGGGACUGAGACACGGCCCAGACUCCUACGGGAGGCAGCAGUGGGGAAUAUUGCACAAUGGGCGAAAGCCUGAUGCAGCGACGCCGCGUGAGGGAUGAAGGCCUUCGGGUUGUAAACCUCUUUCAGUAGGGAAGAGGCGCAAGUGACGGUGCCUACAGAAGAAGCACCGGCUAACUACGUGCCAGCCGCCGCGGUAAGAC